rnacentral:rRNA from 1 species
CCUACGGGAGGCAGCAGUAGGGAAUCUUCCGCAAUGGCGAAAGCCUGACGGAGCAACGCCGCGUGAGUGAUGAAGGUUCUUCGGAUACGUAAAACUCUGUUA